rnacentral:lncRNA from 1 species
UUGGGAUACCUAGUGCUGUAAAGUUUCUAGUGGAUGUGUAAUUCCUUGUUAUUUUUUUAUUUUUUUUCCUUUCAUUCCGAUCAUUUAUAUAUCUCAUCCUUAUAAUUCACAUCCACAGAAACUUUAAUAUAUAUUUUUUCCAAACAAGUAUGACAUCACAUGAUUAAACUAUGUUUAACUCUUAUUUACAUUUUAUGAUAGUGUAUUAUUUUUAGUUAUUCUUUUUCUUGUUUUUUUACAUCUUUUUAGUUAUUCUAUUUUUAGUUUUUUACAAACCUGUUCAUUUAUACUAGUUUUUAAGUUCUAUAAAUUUAAAUUUUCCUAAUAAACAUUAAAAUAGUGCCUUUGUAAGACGCAUUAUAUAUCUCUCACGAGUUAAUUAUAAAUACAAAUACAUUACGCAUACAA